rnacentral:rRNA from 1 species
GGUUGCGAUCAUACCAGCACUAAUGCACCGGAUUCCAUCAGAACUCCGUUGUUAAGCGUGCUUGGGCGAGAGUAGUACUAGGAUGGGUGACCCCCUGGGAAGUCCUCGUGUUGCAACCC